AGGAGAUCACAGCUGGGCAAAGGGUGAAAACAACGCUGGGAGGUCGAAAGGCUGCAGAACCCAUUACCCAUCUCCCGAUAGCCAUUCCGAUGGAAGGCCCUGACAAACGACUCCCUGCAAAGCCGGAUAAGCCCUCUGCAUCCAUCGGCUAAUGCCAGACACUGCCUCCCUAAGUGACUGACCCUCAAUAAAAACCUUGGACGCCGAAGCUCAGGUGAACUUUCCCAGCUGAACCUUGGACCCGGAGGCUCAGCUGUCGAGGAUGCCCUGAUGUCUGUUCUCACAUCACAUUGCGCUCCAAGUACCCCGGCUGCAACCAGAGCUCAGCAAACCGGGACCAGAGGGCACAUCCACCCUGCCUGCCCAUGUCAACAGAGUUGUGUGGGAGCCAGCCGGCCCCCAGGAAGACCCCAGAUCUUCCUGCCCCUGACCACAGCUCUGUCCCUGGAAGCAUAUGCUGCAGACACUUGCUCUGCUGCAGAUUUUCUGCACAACCCCUCCUCAUGGGGGAAGGUUUGGUACCUGAAUGAGGCCUCUUUUGACCUCUAUUCCUAUCACUAUUUUUGGUGACCUCAAUAUUUAUGAAGGUAAUAACUUGGUCUUUAAUCCAGACAAUUUUCACCUCCAGGAAUCUUGUCCUGCAUCUCACUUUUCUUCUUGAGUCCUGUGGUCAUCACCAAAACCUGUCCCUCCUUGGAAACCUCAGUUUAAGCAUCCCACUGUCCGAGGGUACCUCUUUCCUUCCAUUGCCUCAGUUUCAGGUGUCCAGUCCAUGGCGCCCCCCGUCUUUGCCCAGUCACCAUGUCCAGUCGACUGUGCUCCCAUCUUUACCCAGCCACUGUGUCCAGUCCAUGGUGCCCCCAUCUUUGCCCAGCCACCACCUCGUCUGACUCCCCGUCCUCCCCUUGGUGCUGGGCUCCUGCCUGUCCCUCCUCUGUCAAGUGCACCUGGACCUGGGAGUGACCUUGGAGUGACCUUGACCCUGGCAGCUCCAACUCUCAACCCGUCAGCCAGGCUCCUUGAAACCUGGCUGGAGGGAAACGGCAAACCCUGCCACCUGGAGUCGCCUAAAAUUCGCAGCCACGGUCCUCCAACAGGCCCCACGCUUCCCGCCAGUCCAGCACAUUU
rnacentral:lncRNA from 1 species